GAUGAACGCUGGCGGCGUGCCUAAUACAUGCAAGUCGAGCGAAUGGAUUAAGAGCUUGCUCUUAUGAAGUUAGCGGCGGACGGGUGAGUAACACGUGAGUGAUCGGCCCUGCACUUCGGGAUAAGCCUGGGAAACUGGGUCUAAUACCGGAUCGGACCACUGCCUGCGCGGGUGGUGGUGGAAAGCUUUUGCGGCGUGGGAUGGGCGCGCGGCCUCUCAGCGAGUUAGUGAGGUAACGGCUCACCAAGGCGACGACGGGUAGACGGGCUGAGAGGGUGAGCGGCCACACUGGGACUGAGACACGGGCCAGACUCCUACGGGAGGCAGCAGUGGGGAAUAUUGCACAAUGGGCGCAAGCCUGAUGCAGCAACGCCGCGUGAGGGAUGACGGCCUUCGGGUUGUAAACCUCUUUUAGUAGGGAAGAAGCGAAAGUGACGGUACCUGCAGAAAAAGCACCGGCUAACUACGUGCCAGCAGCCGCCGUAA
rnacentral:rRNA from 1 species